GAUGAAGCCCAGCUUGCUGGGUGGAUUAGUGGCGAACGGGUGAGUAACACGUGAGUAACCUGCCCCCGACUCUGGGAUAAGCCCGGGAAACUGGGUCUAAUACCGGAUAUUACCUUUGACCGCAUGGUUGUUGGUGGAAAGAUUUAUCGGUGGGGGAUGGACUCGCGGCCUAUCAGCUUGUUGGUGAGGUAAUGGCUCACCAAGGCGACGACGGGUAGCCGGCCUGAGAGGGUGACCGGCCACACUGGGACUGAGACACGGCCCAGACUCCUACGGGAGGCAGCAGUGGGGAAUAUUGCACAAUGGGCGAAAGCCUGAUGCAGCGACGCCGCGUGAGGGAUGACGGCCUUCGGGUUGUAAACCUCUUUCAGUAGGGAAGAAGCGAAAGUGACGGUACCUGCAGAAGAAGCGCCGGCUAACUACGUGCCAGCAGCCGCGGUAAUACGUAGGGCGCAAGCGUUAUCCGGAUUUAUUGGGCGUAAAGAGCUCGUAGGCGGUUUGUCGCGUCUGCCGUGAAAGUCCGAGGCUCAACCUCGGAUCUGCGGUGGGUACGGGCAGACUAGAGUGAUGUAGGGGAGACUGGAAUUCCUGGUGUAGCGGUGAAAUGCGCAGAUAUCAGGAGGAACACCGAUGGCGAAGGCAGGUCUCUGGGCAUUUACUGACGCUGAGGAGCGAAAGCAUGGGGAGCGAACAGGAUUAGAUACCCUGGUAGUCCAUGCCGUAAACGUUGGGCACUAGGUGUGGGGGACAUUCCACGUUUUCCGCGCCGUAGCUAACGCAUUAAGUGCCCCGCCUGGGGAGUACGGCCGCAAGGCUAAAACUCAAAGGAAUUGACGGGGGCCCGCACAAGCGGCGGAGCAUGCGGAUUAAUUCGAUGCAACGCGAAGAACCUUACCAAGGCUUGACAUGUGCCAGACCGCCUCAGAGAUGGGGUUUCCCUUCGGGGCUGGUUCACAGGUGGUGCAUGGUUGUCGUCAGCUCGUGUCGUGAGAUGUUGGGUUAAGUCCCGCAACGAGCGCAACCCUCGUUCCAUGUUGCCAGCACGUAAAGGUGGGGACUCAUGGGAGACUGCCGGGGUCAACUCGGAGGAAGGUGGGGAUGACGUCAAAUCAUCAUGCCCCUUAUGUCUUGGGCUUCACGCAUGCUACAAUGGCCGGUACAAUGGGUUGCGAUACUGUGAGGUGGAGCUAAUCCCUAAAAGCCGGUCUCAGUUCGGAUUGGGGUCUGCAACUCGACCCCAUGAAGUCGGAGUCGCUAGUAAUCGCAGAUCAGCAACGCUGCGGUGAAUACGUUCCCGGGCCUUGUACACACCGCCCGUCAAGUCACGAAAGUUGGUAACACCCGAAGCCGAUGGCCUAACC
rnacentral:rRNA from 1 species